rnacentral:sRNA from 1 species
AAGUUUUACCAGAGGAAAAAGCGGGCUCUAGCAAUUGGGUAUACCAUGGCUGUGUGUCUGAACCCUAUGACAAAUCAGUCCAACCAAUAACUCCAUAAGCUAUUUUUCAAGAAAAAAGCGUGAUCUACAAGAUGUAUACUCAUGCAGCCAUCGAAGGAACUCACAACAACUAUCCUGGAGAGGAUAUCAAGAUAGUCUGUCACUUGAGAGGGAGAAAAGGGAGGAGGCAUCAGGUAGUCUGUCACAUUAGGCAACGGAUAAAGGGCAGGAAACACCCGACCUGAAACACCUGUCAAUUGGAAGUACUCAAGAACUAUGAACACAUUCACCUAAUUUUUUGAAAUAUGAAAAGUUCAAGUAUUCAUUUUAGCAAUCGAUCAGCAAUAUGGAAAAUAUGACACAUACGCUCAGCUAAUGUUUGGUUCUCUCCAGUGACGAGGAGAGUGACAGGGCAAGACCCGUCGCCACGGCACAAUGGGUUAGGCAAAUCGUCGAACGGCUGCGAUGCGGUCCCGACAGCCCGGAACCCUGGCCAGGGGACCUGAAUCAGGGCCGGCCACCGUGGUGGGCUGGGCACCUCGCAGCUCCAUACCUGCUCCAGCGUCGAGUGCUGGAUGCCGCACUCCUUCCGCAGGCAGGUCCCAUCCAGGUCACUCUCGGUGCAUUCGCAGCCGCACUGGUACUUGGGCUUGUCGAGCUCCCCGUUGAUCACGUUCUGAAGCACGACGAGCAGCACGCAGAUGAGGAUCGGGAAGACGGUGAUGCCGACGUUCGUCUUCAGGUUCCGCCUCUGCACCCGCAGCCAAAGAGACAAGAAUCAGAUGCCACCACCAAAAACCAUCAACCAUAUGCCUCCCACCCUCCCAAGAACACAGAUGAAAUCGAUGGCUGCCCAUCAUCCAUCCAAAAGCCCCAAACCAGAGCAGCAUGAUUAAACCAUAAGAACCGGGCAGGCAUAUCCACAAACACGUCGCGGGCAGCAAGGCAGACACAGAGAAGGGAUCAAUCGGUGCGGCUUUCCUGGAAGCAGAGGUUCUUGCGGAGGAGGGCGGAGGCCUGGGUGGAGAAGCUGGCGGGGCUCCUCCCCCUCCUCCUCGCGGAAUCGUCAUCAUCCAUGGGAGAGGCGGAGGCGGAGGCAGAUGGGGAGUAGCCGCUACGCUUCGGCGGCGGUGAGGAGAAGAAGAGGCGUUCGGAGUUGGGAUUUUGAGUUAAACCGAUUGAUUGGGUUUGGUUUAACUUGUCGCGGUUUAUAUAUGCCGUCGAUUUCUCGGCUCGGCUCGGCUCCCGCCAAAUCCGCUUUCUCCGUCGGUGCUUAGGGACUAGGGACUGUCUAUGCUAUCGAUUAAAUUGCACGUACGGUCCCUAUACUCGUAUACUACUGUCCUGUUUGGAGAACUAACUAAGUUAUUUUGAAAGCUACUAUUUUUUAUACAAGAAAAAAACCUUUAAUAAAAUAUCCCUAAGUUGU